AGUGAACGCUGGCGUUAGGCCUAACACAUGCAAGUCGAACGGCAGCACAGUAAGAGCUUGCUCUUACGGGUGGCGAGUGGCGGACGGGUGAGGAAUGCAUCGGAAUCUACUUUUUCGUGGGGGAUAACGUAGGGAAACUUACGCUAAUACCGCAUACGACCUACGGGUGAAAGCAGGGGAUCUUCGGACCUUGCGCGACUGAAUGAGCCGAUGUCGGAUUUGCUAGUUGGCGGGGUAAAGGCCCACCAAGGCGACGAUCCGUAGCUGGUCUGAGAGGAUGAUCAGCGACACUGGAACUGAGACACGGUCCAGACUCCUACGGGAGGCAGCAGUGGUGAAUAUUGGAGAAUGGUCGCGAGCCUGAUCCAGCCAUACCGCGUGGGUGAAGAAGGCCUUCGGGUUGUAAAGCCCUUUUGUUGGGAAAGAAGAGCAGCAGGUUAAUACCCCGCUGUUCUGACGGUACCCAAAUAAUAAGCACCGGCUAACUUCGUG
rnacentral:rRNA from 1 species